rnacentral:rRNA from 1 species
AUGAAGUUCUUCCUCCUCUGUUUCCUCCUCUGUUUUGGCCUCAAGCCUGCGUUUUUCACUGCAGCAAGCGAUGACCAACUCUUGUACCAUGGCUUCACAGCCGGUACCAACCUCACCGUCGACGAGGCUGCUUCAGUCACGCCGAACGGACUCCUUGAGCUAACCAAUGGCUCGCUUGGUUGCAAAGGUCAUGCGUUCUACCCAACUCCGUUGCACUUCCGCAAAUCGCAUAAUGAUACAGUGCAAUCUUUCUCAGUCGCCUUCGUGUUUGCCAUCCACUCUAGCUACCCCAUCAUGAGCCGACAGGGCUUGGCUUUCGUUGUCGCCCCAAGCAUGAACUUCUCAACUGCAUUGGCCAACCAAUACUUGGGCCUCAUGAACUCCCAGAACAACGGCAACUUGAGCAACCACAUCUUCGCCAUCGAGCUAGACACCGUCCUAAACAUCGAGUUCAAAGACAUCAACACCAACCAUGUAGGUAUUGACAUCAACAGCCUCCAGUCUAUAGAGUCCAACUCUGCAGGAUAUUAUGAUGAUAGGAACGGUACCUUCCAAGACAUGGUUCUUGCUAGUGGUGAUGCAAUUCAAGUGUGGGUGGACUACAAUGGUGAAGCCAAGAAAAUCAGUGUGACCAUGGCUCCCCUUCAAAUGGCAAAACCUACAAGGCCACUCAUAUCGACAAAUUAUGACCUCUCGAGUGUGUUGCAAGAUCCAUCCUACAUCGGCUUCUCAUCUUCAGGUGGAGAGGUCGACUCAAGACAUUAUGUACUUGGUUGGAGUUUUGGGAUGAACAAACCAGCCCCACUGAUCAAUUCUGUGAAGCUGCCAAAACUACCUCAGCCAAAGCAUCAAUCAAAGCUGCUGAAAAUCAUCCUACCUAUAGCGAGCGCAAUCUUCGUAUUUGCUGUGGGUUCUAUGGUCAUUUUACUAGUGAGGAGAAAAUUGAGGUAUGCUGAGCUAAAAGAAGAUUGGGAGAUCGAGUUCGGGCCACAUCGGUUCUCAUACAAGGAUUUGUUCCAUGCCACAGAAGGAUUUAAGAACAAACACCUACUUGGUGCAGGAGGAUUUGGGAAGGUAUAUAAAGGGGCCCUUCCAUCAACAAAACUAGAGGUUGCUGUGAAGAGGGUAUCGCACGAGUCCAGACAGGGUCUAAAGGAGUUUGUUGCUGAGGUUGUCAGCAUUGGCCGCAUCCGACAUCGUAACCUUGUUCAGUUACUUGGCUAUUGUAGGAGAAAAGAUGAACUCCUUUUGGUGUAUGACUACAUGUCAAAUGGUAGCCUUGAUAAGUAUUUGUAUUGUGAUGAUCCAAUGCUUAUACUAAACUGGGUUCAGAGGUUUCGGAUAAUAAAGGAUAUUGCAUCAGGCUUGCUGUACCUCCAUGAAAAAUGGGAGAAAGUGGUCAUCCACCGUGACAUCAAAGCAAGCAACGUACUCCUUGAUAGUGAAAUGAAUGGGAGGCUAGGUGACUUUGGCCUUGCAAGACUUUAUGAUCAUGGAACUGAUAUGCAGACCACACAUGUGGUUGGUACCAUUGGGUACCUAGCCCCAGAACUGAUAUGCACAGGUAAGGCAACUCCUCUCACUGAUGUGUUUGCCUUUGGGAUUUUCCUUCUUGAGGUUGCCUGUGGGCAAAGGCCAGUUAACAGCAAUGCACGAGCAAAUCAACCUUUGUUAGUUGAUUGGGUUCUUGAGCAUUGGAAUAAGGGAUCACUGGCUGAGGCAGUAGAUACGAGGUUACAGAAUGACUAUAAUGUUGACGAGGCAUGCCUAGUGCUAAAGCUAGGACUACUAUGUGCACACCCAUUUACCAAUGCAAGGCCCAACAUGCAGAGUAUCAUGCGGUACCUUGAUGGCGAUUUGCAAUUCCCUGACUUAACAGAUACAGACAUGAGCUUCAGCCUGCUCUCUCAAAUGCAGGGUGAAGGGUUUGACCGUUAUGCAUUGUCAUAUCUUUCAUUAAACACGAGCAUUGGCACAAUAUCUGGUCUUUCAGGAGGAAGAUGA